GGCAUCAUCUGGCAUCUCUGACAUUCUUGAUGCUACUUAACGCAUGAUAAGAACCCACCAGAGAAGUCCACAGGGAUUUCCAGAGACAGGUAGAGGCACUGCGCUGGGCAGCACCAGGGAGGAAUAUUAUCUUUUCAAGCAGCUGUACUCUGACUAGAAGCCAGAACUCCUGAGUACUGAGGUCACCAAGUUUGGCAAAGCAGAGCUGUCUGGGGACUACCGCAGCAGGAAGGACCGAGCUUAGAUAUGAAAAAAGGCUUCUAAACGACGAGAGCCACAGAAAGAGCGCUCCAGCUGGCUCAGGAUAGGGGGCUCUCUCCCUUUGAAGAACAAAAGAUGGCAGACGCCCGGGGGCCCUGAGGCAGAAGGAGGAGAACAUACCUGAUCCUGGCGCUUCCUGCUCCUCAUGGCUCUGCGGGUGGCUCUGCCUCACCUGGAUCACUGCUCUCCCAGAACACAGGAGCUGGGAGUGAGCCCUGCAGCGCAGGGGCUGUGGCCAGACCAGCUUUGGGCACAGGGAGGCCCUCCCUCACUCCCUGCCUAGCUUUGGAUGGUGGCUACGGACCCACUGGCUUUCUCUGCCCCGGCCAUAGAUGGGACCUAGCACACAUGAGGUCAGCUAAAGCCUCAGGCUCUUUCACUUGAAGGACUCUGGCUUCUAGCCACCUGUACUUGUGCAGGUGGCUUUUAACUUACACACAAAAUUGCUAAUACAAUUUGCUUUUAAUGUAAUUCACCAUUUCCUUUUUUUAAGAGAUGGUGACUCUGUCACCCAGGCUGGAGUACAGUGGCACAGUCAUCGCUCUCUGCAGCCUCGAACUCCUGGGCUCUAGUGAUCCU